rnacentral:rRNA from 1 species
UGGGGAGUACGGCCGCAAGGUUAAAACUCAAAUGAAUUGACGGGGGCCCGCACAAGCGGUGGAGCAUGUGGUUUAAUUCGAUGCAACGCGAAGAACCUUACCUACUCUUGACAUCCAGAGAACUUUCCAGAGAUGGAUGGGUGCCUUCGGGAACUCUGAGACAGGUGCUGCAUGGCUGUCGUCAGCUCGUGUUGUGAAAUGUUGGGUUAAGUCCCGCAACGAGCGCAACCCUUAUCCUUUGUUGCCAGCGGUUCGGCCGGGAACUCAAAGGAGACUGCCAGUGAUAAACUGGAGGAAGGUGGGGAUGACGUCAAGUCAUCAUGGCCCUUACGAGUAGGGCUACACACGUGCUACAAUGGCGUAUACAAAGAGAAGCGAACUUGCGAGAGUAAGCGGACCUCAUAAAGUACGUCGUAGUCCGGAUUGGAGUCUGCAACUCGACUCCAUGAAGUCGGAAUCGCUAGUAAUCGUAGAUCAGAAUGCUACGGUGAAUACGUUCCCGGGCCUUGUACACACCGCCCGUCACACCAUGGGAGUGGGUUGCAAAAGAAGUAGGUAGCUUAACCUUCGGGAGGGCGCUUACCACUUUGUGAUUCAUGACUGGGGUGAAGUCGUAACAAGGUAACCAAGGGCGAAUUCGCGGC